rnacentral:rRNA from 1 species
GUACGGGAGGCAGCAGUGGGGAAUAUUGGACAAUGGGGGCAACCCUGAUCCAGCAAUGCCGCGUGAGUGAUGAAGGCCCUAGGGUUGUAAAGCUCUUUCGGCGGGGACGAUGAUGACGGUACCCGCAGAAGAAGCCCCGGCUAACUUCGUGCCAGCAGCCGCGGUAAUACGAAGGGGGCUAGCGUUGUUCGGAAUUACUGGGCGUAAAGGGCGCGCAGGCGGCCGCUCAAGUCAGAUGUGAAAGCCCCGGGCUCAACCUGGGAACUGCAUUUGAUACUGAGUGGCUAGAGUUCGGGAGAGGAGAGUGGAAUUCCCAGUGUAGAGGUGAAAUUCGUAGAUAUUGGGAAGAACACCGGUGGCGAAGGCGGCUCUCUGGACCGAUACUGACGCUGAGGCGCGAAAGCGUGGGGAGCAAACAGGAUUAGAUACCCUGGUAGC